CCCUUAGACGUUCUGGGCCGCACGCGCGCUACACUGACGAAGGCAACGAGCUUUCCUUUACCGAAAGGUACGGGUAAUCUUUUGAAACUUCGUCGUGCUGGGGAUAGAUCCUUGCAAUUAUUGAUCUUAAACGAGGAAUUCCUAGUAAGCGCAAGUCGUCAACUUGCGUUGAUUACGUCCCUGCCCUUUGUACACACCGCCCGUCGCUACUACCGAUUGAAUGGUUUAGUGAGGCCUUCGGAUCCGCGACUCGUUUUGUGGAGAAGUUGGACAAACUCAGUCAUUUAGAGGAAGUAAAAGUCGUAACA
rnacentral:rRNA from 1 species